rnacentral:rRNA from 1 species
UCGUAAGUGGAAACUGCGGAGGGAUCAUUACAGAGUUGCAAAACUCCCACAAACCAUCGCGAAUCUUACCCGUACGGUUGCCUCGGCGCUGGCGGUCCGGAAAGGCCCUCGGGCCCUCCCGGACCCUCGGGUCUCCCGCUCGCGGGAGGCUGCCCGCCGGAGUGCCGAAACUAAACUCUUGAUAUUUUAUGUCUCUCUGAGUAAACUUUUAAAUAAGUCAAAACUUUCAACAACGGAUCUCUUGGUUCUGGCAUCGAUGAAGAACGCAGCGAAAUGCGAUAAGUAAUGUGAAUUGCAGAAUUCAGUGAAUCAUCGAAUCUUUGAACGCACAUUGCGCUCGCCAGUAUUCUGGCGAGCAUGCCUGUUCGAGCGUCAUUUCAACCAUCAAGCUCUGCUUGCGUUGGGGAUCCGCGGCUGUCCGCGGUCCCUCAAAAUCAGUGGCGGGCUCGCUAGUCACACCGAGCGUAGUAACUCUACAUCGCUAUGGUCGUGCGGCGGGUUCUUGCCGUAAAACCCCCCAUUUCUAAGUGUACCUCGGAUCAGGUAGGAAUACCACCCUGAGCUA